GACGAACGCUGGCGGCGUGCUUAACACAUGCAAGUCGAACGAAGUGGCGAACGGGUGAGUAACGCGUAAUCAACCUGCCCUUCAGAGGGGGACAACAGUUGGAAACGACUGCUCAUACCGCAUACUGAAGGAGGGGAUUGCGUGUGUUUAGCUAGUGGGAGGGGUAACGGCCCACCAAGGCGAUGAUCAGUAGCCGGUCUGGGAGGGUGAACGGCCAAAUUGGGAAUGAGGAACGGCCCAGGCUCCGACGGGAGGGAGCAGUGGGGCAUCUUCCGCAAUGGAAGGAAGGCUGACGGAGCAACGCCGCGUGAGGGAUGACGGCCUUCGGGGUGGAAAGCUCUGUUAAUCGGGACGCGGUACCGGAAUAGAAAGCCACGGCUAACUACGUGCCAGCAGCCGCGGUAAUUC
rnacentral:rRNA from 1 species